UCAUGUGGAAGAUGGAUACAUUUCGGAAGAGCAAAUCUUGGCUUUACUGAGAUGUAUACUCCGGUGAUCUAAGUGAGUAAAUACCCAAGCUUUCCCACUUCUCUUCAUAGAUUUUGAGCAAUUGUCUUAGCUUCUUUCUUAACCCUAUACAAGGAAACUUUCAAAUAGUAACCACUAACAUCCCGAUAAAGUAAAGAGAUAAUAAUAAUAAAAAAAAGAAAACAUUUCCAUCUGGAAUCUCUUCAGAUUUCAGGGUGAAUAAAUUGGCAGAUACCUGGUAGAGCCCUGGGGCCAAAAACUGAGCUUAUUUUGUUUCUGUUUUCAUUUCUCCCUUUUUUGCCUUGUCAGUUGAAUAACGUCUCUGCUGAUUUCCUGGAGACUCAAGUCUUCCCGACAGCCAUUUGUCACUCCCUCAGCUUCCAUGGCCGCUGGCUAUGGGUACUAAAAAAACACCAAGGUGAAGAAGAAAAAAUCAGGAAAUAAUGUUUAUCUGAAUUCGCUUCCAGAAUUUCGACUCAAUUUGGAAACUGAAGCCAAGUGGCAAAGUAAAGAUUUUCUUUCCAUGGAUCGUCUAAUUGCCCCAAAAAGGCAGCCCUUGGGAGUGUUGCAGAUUUUAAGCAUUCAAGAACAGAUACUGGUGACUACUGUCUUUGAUUUUCCCAUGCCUACUCCUUUGUCCCUUCGUUCUGAGAAAAUGACACCUACGUCACUUCAUUGACUUGCUGGGAGGACCAAAUGCAAUGCUGUACACCAUUCGAAAGAAAGGCCAUAGCAAUGACCAAAAUGGCUUGCAACAAAAGGAGACUGUCAGCGGAGAGUCACAUGUCCAUUAAUUCUCCCAGAAAGGAUUCUGAUUUAAGCUUCUGGUAACUCAGGGGUUCCUUGGCUUGUGGCUGCACCCUACAUCCCCUGCCUCUGUGGUCACGACAACUUCUCGCCUGUAUCAAAUCCCUUGCUGCCGUUCUUUACAAAGACACUUAUGAUUGCAUUUAGGACCUGCCCGGAUAAUCCAAGAACAUCUUCCCAUCUUAAGAUUUUUAACUUAAUCACAUCUGCAAAGAUGCUUUUCCAGGAGGUGGAGCAAUAAAAUACAAUCAGUUCAUAUUGAGACAACUUCAACUUGACACAAAGAAAUAUUCUAUGUGCUUUCCUCUGGUGGAUUUCCAGUUUCAGAAGUCCUAGACUGCUGGCCCUUACAACUUUACCUGGAUGGGAGUCAUAAAUCUCAAGUCAUUGAUCCUCAAACCGUAUUUCUUGAAUCUACAUAGCUCUUUCUCGCCUCUGAUCAGAACCCUUGCACUUGUUUGUGGCUGCUCUUACCUCUACCUGGAAGGCUCUUCUUUUGGCAGUCAACUAGAUGCAAUUACAAACUGCAAUUGUUAUAAAGCAAUGGAAAUGAGUAUAGAAAUAGAGCGGUAACAUGUAUGCAGAAACUGGAAGGAUGACAAGGAACGAGGCAUCUGAGAAGGGAUGGAGCAGGACAUCUCAGAGAAAAGGGAGCCUUGCCUUCCCUGGAAGUGAAAGGAAACCACUGUGGCUGGUGCAUGAAGGGUAAAAGUGAGAGCCAGAGCCAGGUCAUGCUGGCUUGUGGGUAAGUGCAUGUUCCUGAAAAGGGUAAGGAUGUUAUUGGAGGAGAAGUGAGAAGCUAAGGACGUUGUUUGAAAGGAAAGGAAAGGGGUAUGCAUCAUUCGUUUCCACUUUAAAAUCUUACUUUGUUUAAGUGGAGAAUAGAUUGGGGUUGGGGAAGAGAGAAAAUGGGAGAAAUCCAGAUGACUGGUUAGUGGUGACCAGAAGUAGGUUGAUGGUUACAGAAAUAGAGGUGGGAAUAUUUGAGAGAUAUUUUGGACAUAGAGACCCGGCACUUGAUGAUGGAUUGGAUGUUAGCAGUGACUUAGGGGGAAAACUUAAAGAUGACUUCUAGGUUUCUACAAAGUUGAAUAACAGUAGUCAAAGGAGAUCACUUUGCAGGCCAGGCUGCUGGCUACAGACAUGCUUAGAUGACUGAUCAGGAAUAACAUUGAUUUAAAGAAGGGCUUUGAUCAUAAAAACUGAAGUACAGACAGAGCACAGUGGCAGGCGGGACUCAGAGAAGAGAGAGGCACAGACAGGCAUAAGUCUAGACAGGUCAUGUUCACAGGCUAUUCUUAGUCUGGAGACCUGGUCCCACCACCAUGUUUCAAUACAACACUAGGCACCCAGCAAGGGUGGGAAGCAGCAUCAAGGGAGCGAUAGACGUUGCAGAAUCAAGCAUGGAUGAGAACAAUUACUGGUUGCAUGAUCUUGUGUGAAUUACUUGAAUUACUUAACCUUUUAGAGCCUCUAAUUCCUUAUUUAUAAAAUAGGAUGAAAAUAUUUACCUUGUAUAUUUGUUAUGGAGAUUAAUUUGAGCAAUGUUUACAAAAUACCUUGCAUAUAGUAGAUGCUUAAAAACGUAGUUCUCUUGGCCUCCCACUGUGUAAAUUAAUUCAUAUCAUUGAGAGAGCUCUCACUCAUUCAGCUACGUGACUAAUCAAAUCCUGACACUAAAGGGCUUGGUUCUCGUCCAGCUUCCUUCAAGCUGUGGAGUGCGGAGUGGGGAGAUAGGAAAAAGAAAGGAGGGAACUAAAUAUUAUGGUAUAUUCUAAAUCAUAUAGUGGAGUCUAAAUCCCAUUUCAUUAUAUACCACGUUACAUGGUGUUAAAUUCUUUAAUUUUUAUAUCUUUGUAGCAACUUUGUGAGAACAGUAUUCUUUGGUUUCUUUUGUAAAUAAGGACUCUUGGGCAGAAUUUGGGAGAUCUGAGCAAGGUUACAGAGCUCCUGCCACAAGAGCCAGGAUUGGAACGUGCUGAGUCUGAAGCUUGCACAUUUCUCACUCUACAUUGUGCAGCCUCUGCAAAGAUCAGCCUUAACACAAGUGAAGUUCCCAAAGGAGGAGACUUGUCAUCUACACAAUAGCUUUUUUUUUUUUUUUUUUUUCCUUUUUCUGGGGUGGAUAAGAGGGCUCUAUUUGUGGGGAAUAGUUUGGGAGGAUUUACAUCCUCUUUGAAUUUGGAAGGGCUGAAUCAUUCAUUCAUGGAAUUUAGUCAUCCUUCUUUAUUUCAGACAGGAGAGACUUCUGGGCCCCUGAAAAGUUGUUUGACACCCUAAGAUCAUUCAGCUGGUGACAUUUUGGCAUUUUAGCCAUUUCAGUUCAAUAGUCCUUCAGUGUUUCUCUGAUGCCUCAGGCAUUUCCUCCUUUGGCUUUUUUUUUUUUUUUUUUUAAAUUGAAUCCAUGAUUCAAUCCUACUAGCAGCAAUAGUGAUUUUUUUCUCAGUAAUAUGACCAGUAAGAGACACACACACAUGCAUGCAUAUCUCCCCUUGGAUAGCUAAUUGUCAUCUUGAUUUUGAUAUGAUCAAAAUAGAACUCUUAAUUUCCCUGCCUCAAAUCUGCCCACCUUCCCCUACGGUCUUCCCUUCUUAAUAAAUGGCAACUCUAGGACAUGAACCUCAGCUAUCUUCAACUUCUGCCUCUCUAUGGAAAUUGACACCCAGAGGUCUGUCAGUCCUGUCUUUGAACUGUUGCAAAGUGGAGGCACUGAAAUCUCUCAGAAACAUCUUUUGCCUGGGCUACUCUGAUAACCUCCUGAAUACUUCUCUCUCUCCUUCCUCCGGAUUUCUUUGUUCCCAUUCUUUUCAGAGGAGCCAGACCCGUCCAUUCACAAGGGAAGAGGCAAAGUCUGGAUGGUGGUUGCCCACACCCUGCUUGAUCCAAACUCUGAUGACAUCAUCGCUGACUUUUCUCUCACACCCUCUUUGCUCUAGCACACCAACCACUUGAAUACCUCCAACAUGCUAACAAACUGUCACCUCAGGGCUUUUCUACUUGCUAAUCUCUCUGCGUAGAAUUCUCUUCUCCGAGAUAGACAAAUAGCUUCUUUCUACACCUUGACAUUUCUGCUAAAAUAAUCACCUUGUCACAAAGUCUUUCUUGAGCACUCACUAUAAAAUGGCAACCCUAUCCCCGUACUUCAGCUCUCUUUCCUCCAUAGCACUGAUCACAGCUUAAUACUGUAUAAGUUUGCUUAUUGUUUUCCUCACAACACCCUCCAUCUUGCUUUGCAUGUAUGGUCCAUGAGGACAGAGUUUUCUCUCAGAUUUGCUUACCGUUGGAAUCAUGUUUGGCUUGAGCCAGGAAUUCAGUUCAUAUUGGUUGAAUGAAUAAAUUGAUGUUAAUAUUUAUGAUAGAAAUUGUCAUUCUUGUAGAUUGAGUCAAAGUUCUUAAGUAUAUUCAUUUUAACUAUUUUUUUUUCUUUGAUUGCUCUUCCACCCCUGACCCCUGGCUUUAUUACAAUUAACUGUGGCUUUGGUAAGAAAUACUCUCAAUUUUGGGGAAUAGCAAUUUCAACAGUAAAACAUUAGUAUUGAAUGGAUAAUAUGAACAAGUCAUUUCUGGAAAAAUAGUGUGAAAUAAAAUACAUCUCCUUAGAGCACAUUUCCUUGGUGUAGAAUAUUUCCUUAUUCCCAUGCAACACUAGAUUCUGCUGCAUGUAUUUGCUUUAGAAUUUCACGUUUAUUAUAUUUGGGAAGCCAGAACUGAAUAAAAAUGAAAACCUUUUCUAAUGCUAUCAACAGAUAUGUUAUCAAGAAUUUUUAAUCUAUUUUUAGUAAGUUUAAUGUGUAGUAGAACCGUUCUCUUCUUUUCUUCCUGAUUUAAUUCCCAUUGACCAUCAUUUGUGCUGCAAAGAUGAAGCUCUAUACUUUAGCUUGUCUUUCAGACAAACUAAGACUGUUGUAUUGAAUUCCAAAGCAUGUGCACUUGGAAUUGAAAGUCCACUGUCAGUGGAGAGAACCUGUGGUAGCCGUCUCUCACCUCCUCUUCUGUGAUGUGAUACAGCUAAUCCCAGCCAAACUACUUGAAAUGCUUGUUACUGCUGCAAUCUCAAUGAAUUUAGAGUGGUAAUCAAUUAACAGUAAAUAGGUUUCUUUGUCAAUUUGGAAGCAUCCCAAUGAAGGUAAAGAGAAAGUGGAAUAAGGUGAUAAAUAAUUUAUAGCUGGAGAGAAUCCUUAAUUCCUUCAGCCCACUCAUAGGUUCUAAAUUAUUUUUUAGGGGUAACAUGAGACCAAUAACCAGAAACCUGGGACACAAAUUAACUCUGUUUAAGAAAGAGAUUUUUAAACUGAGGGAUGUGCCGGUUUUGCUGCUUACACCUGGAUUUUAUACAAAUGAUGCAAUUGCAAAAGGGCCACUUGUCUGUGACCCUCCUGAGGUCUCUUUUUGCCAUUUCUCUUGUUAUCUUGAUUUUCCUCUUGAUCUCUCCUCCAGGAUUAUUUUCAGACUUGCUUGCAUCUCAUUUUGUACCAGUAAAGUGCAUGUGUUAGUGCACACACGCACGAUUGCUGUUUUUAUCCUCCUCUGGUAACUCUUUUUCUAUGUCUCUCAGGGUCUCAUCUUGGCUAGGCUUUCCUUUUAUUUGUAUCUUGACAGCUUGGAGGUGGUUAUUAGGACAUUUAGAGCUCUGAGGCUUGGAUGCCCAGCAUGGAUGUAAUUCCCCAUUCGUUACCUGUCUUCCUUCCCCUGCUCUGCCUAGGUAUGGGUAAUAAAGGCCUGUCUUCCCAGGCUCAAUUCCUAGGCCGAAGGGGAAUGGGUAGUAAUGUUUCAGCAGCUCCUUCCUCCCUAGUGACAUCUGGGGAUAGUGAAUUCACAAUGCACUUUUCCCACCCUCAUGAUGCACUAAUAAAGUCAGGCUGCUGACAAGGAGGGCUGGCUUCCUGGUGUUCUCCUUAAUCUUCUGCCCCAGUGCCUGAGUCUAGAGGCUAGCCCUGUUGACUAUGGCUCUGGGUCACCCUUUUAGAUCCUGGCAGCCCCUUAACAGGGUUUGCAUCCCACUUUUGGUUAUUUUUAUUUUACAUUGUCCUAUGUGGACUUCCCUUAUCUGGAGCUCUUAUAUACAUCAUAUUGAGAACUGCCCCCGCCUUGAACUUCCUCACUCCACCUUUAGAGUUUGACCUCUAUACCAAGUUGAAAAAUGAGAACUCCCUGGUCCAACUGAACUUGAUGAUUUUGUAUUCUAGAAGAGGGACAGCUCUUUCGUUUUUUCUAGAUCUACUCAUUCUAUGCUAGUUUUAGUGAUCUGAGAGCUUUGGGGAUUUGGGAGUGGGAUUAGGUCUCCAUGCUAGUGCAUGUCCAAUAAAAAAAUCACCACCACCCAUAGAAACAGAAGUAGAUUUAUGUGAAGCUAAAGAAUCUUAAGUUUCCAGGUCUUUGUUUGCAUGGGCCCCUUCCGAUGCCCUGGCAGGGGCUUCAGCAAUGUGUUCACAGAGACAUAUGAUUUUGUAAAUUUGCAAAAGUAAGAUAUUUUAACUGCAACCAAUGAUACCCAUUGUGUCAUUUCACUCCAUCUUCCAAUCUGUCGUAUUUCUACUCAUGUCGCAGUGGGCCAGGACGUAUUUUUGAUCUGGCUAAGUAGAAUGUGAGUGAGAUACAUUUAGUUGCAGUUUACUGGCACAGAUUUAUGUGCAUAGCAAUUACUUCUAUGAGUAAGCCAUGGCUAGUAGGCAGCCUUGAAGGUGCAAAGCUCAGAUAUCCCUUCAAGAGAACCUGUUGCCAUACUUCCUCCAGCCUCCGCACCUUCAGCAUCACACCAAAACCGUGCUUUCCCAGGGCUGCCCUAGCCAAUGAGUCUGCACGGUCUGAGUUCUAGAGCCCGCCCAUUUCUGCCCAUUGCAGAAUAAGCUGUCUUUGCCCUGGAGCCUCGACUUUCUCAGAGCUGACCUGCAGCCAGUUCUCCUCCAUUCUGUCUUUCUUUCUGCAGGUGUCAGGUCCUCCUCACAUUCGAAGGGUUCUAUCUUCUGUCCUUUCUCUUUUUUAUCUUCUAUGGGCAUUCUCCCUCAAGAAAUCUCUUGUACAUCGAAUUUCAACCUGGUGUCCACCUCAGAGGACACGAACUGACACCGUUAAAGAUUUCACAGGUGAGUUGGUGUCAGCUCUUUCUUUAAACUGAAGUUUGGCUAAUGGGUCUGAUGCUAAUGAUCUUCACCCACAUCAUAUUGCCUUUUUAUAUGCCUAGUGCUCCAUCAACCAAUCUUUGACUCCUUAACCCGAAUUUCAGAUUGCGGCCAUCUAGUUUUAGUCACUUGCCAGCACCUUGCAAUAUUUUCCACCUCCCCUCCUGACUUCAGAGCAUUUUUGCCAAUGUUCUCAUCCACUACCACCCUACCUACAUACCACACGCUACCCAUACAGCUUCUCUCAUUCCUAGGGCAAACCUUUGCUUAUUAUCUUUUCCCUGUCUGAAAUACCUUUUGCCCCAACUAGACGUAGGCAUAUUUCUUAUUAAUUAUUUUGCUGAUAUGACAUUGACAACAGAAACAUAAAACUUGUAAUAUACCAUACCAAUGAGGGCAUCUGUGAUAAACUAGUAAAUAAGCAUCAUUAAUUCAAAAAGGCAUGUAAGAUUAAUCAUUGUUCCAGAAAACUUGGAAUGUCCUGAAAUAUUAUAGGCUAUUUACGAAGGAAACUUGAUAUUUUCUCAAAUUUGACAAUUAUAAAAUUAACUAUUACCACAUGAGUCGUGAAGCUUUUAGAAACUUUUCCAAAAUGCUAUUAUUAUUAUUAUUAUUAUUAUUAUUAUUAUUAUUUAUUUAUUUUUACUGAACCAUACUAGAGAAAAGACUUACUUAUUAUCUAUUUUCUAUUGAAUUGUGUUGUCCCCAAAUUUCGUAUGUUGAAGCCCUAACCAUCAAUAUGACUGUAUUUGGAUAUAGGGCCUAUGGGAAGGCAAAUAAAAUAAAAAUGAGGUCAUAAGAAUGGGUUGGUAGGAUUUGCAUCCUCAUGAGAGGAGAUAUCACAGAGCUUGCUCUCUCUUUCUCUUGUUUCCUAUCCUGCCUCUCAGCCAUGUAAGGACACAGUGAGAAGGCAGCUAGCUGAAAGCCAGACAAAGGGCUCUCACCAGAAACUAAGCCCUGUCAGAACCUUGAUUUUGGGCUUUAUAGCCUCCAGAACUGUGAGAAAAUUUCUGUUGUUUAAGCCACUCCAUCUAAAGCAUUUUGUUAAGGCAGCCCAAGUUGACUAAGGCACUAUCUUUCCCUUCUUUCUACAGAUCAGUGAUUUUCAACUGGGUGUGAUAUUUUUCCUCACAGGGAAUAUUUGACAGUGUCUGGAGACAUUUUUGAUGGUCACAACUGGGGGGAUACUACUGGCAUCUAGUGGGUAGAGGCCAGAGAUGCUGCAAAAAUACCUAUAAUUCAUAGGGCAGGCUGUCUCCUCUUCCCCCCUCCCCCCAGCUGCUCCCACCAAAGAAUUACCUGGCGCAAAAUGGCAAUAGUGCAAACAUUGCAAAGCCUGAUAAACCAUGCUAUGGAAAAUCAUAUAAAAUCAUGUCUUAUGAAGAGGUGAUUAAAAAGGAUAUAGCCAAUUAUAUGGAAAAAGGUAUUAUAGGAAGAUGUUAAGUGGGUAAUAAAUAUAUUUUCUAGGUUUUGUUUGUGAUAUUUUCAUAUUUUUAAAACUUAUUAUUUAUACAUUCUUAUUUUCCUGAGUAAAAAUUUAGUUCUAAACCUGAUUUGGUACUCUUUUUUAUAAGACAUUCCUCAAAAUUUUGUAAUCUUCAGCUCCCCAAAUCCUGAAUUCACCCAGUUUAGAAUUAUGAUUAAACACUUAUAUACAACACUAGUAAAUUUUUAUUUCAUUAUGACUCUGGACCUCAACAUUAUAAUUUUAUUUUUUUGAGUAUAGUCUGACCAUCUAAAAAUGCUUAGUAAAGUUUAAGGUAAAAGAACAUUUUUAUAAGUGGAAUAAAUGCUGUCAUUAUUGUAUAUGUAGGCAAGAGAUUUGGCCUUUUGCACUAAAUCCUCUUUGCCCUUUGCAGAAGAUUUUCCUAAGCUGUUAAAUAAUAGAGCAUUCAUGCAGUGUAUCUUGGGGUCUCUUCUUUAGUGGUGUAUGUUCACAUGGGAGUCGUCUGUAACUCACCCACAUCUUUCACCCCAGUCCUGAAAAUUAAUUAACACAUCAUGCCAGUUUUGAAAUUUCUCACAUAUUUCUCGUGAUCUCAUUAUUUUAUUUAGGGCUUCCUUCAUGCUUCCAUUGGACAGCUGAACAGUUUCCUUUGUGGAUCACCCAAUUCUACUUCAUAGUCUACACAGAACUUGUUCUUCAGAAGAAAUCUCCAGCAGAAGCCCAAUGAAUGACAUUGAUCCAACUGCAUCAGAGACUGUCAACCUCUCUGGGACCCAUUUCUGUGCCCCUCAGGCAGAGUUGAGUGCAUUCCUCUAUCGUCCAACAGAACAUAAUGAAUUUUACUGCUGACCUUAUCUUAAUGGAUUAUUGUUACACUAUUUUAUGUAUCUUUUUUUUUUUUUUUCCAUUAAAUCGUGAGCUUCUCAAGGGUAGGGGCAAUGUCUUACUAAUUUCAGAACAUAUCCCAAUAACUUGGCACAUAAUAAUUGCUCAGUAAGUGGUUGAUGAAUAAAUACGUUUAACCUCCAA